GCCCUGCGCGUGAGUGAAGAAGGCCUUCUGGUUGUAAAGCUCUUUUGUCGGGGAAGAACAAGUAUAAGUUGAAACCUCUUGUACCUUGACGGUACCUAACCAGAAAGCCCCGGCUAACUACGUGCCACCACCCGCGGUAUAU
rnacentral:rRNA from 1 species